AAUUCUUUCAAAAGCCCAAUAUUCUAAUCAGCUUCGAAGGCGUCAGCAACGCUUUCAGUCGAUUUCUAUGGAAACUCCAAAGGAAUUCUCUUUCUACAGAAGCCAACACACCGAUAAUCAGUGAAUCAGAAUCGAAAGUUAGAGCCGAAAAUUGAUGUCUGAAUCACCGGAAGUUUGAAGUUUUAGUCUUUCAGAAUCGAGUUAGAGACGAAAUUAUCAAAGAUUUUGUUUCAAAAAGUUAUUCUCAUUGUCAUGGUGAUCUUCCUAGCAGACAAAGCACAUCCACAACGCUGCUUCGUUUUUGAUAUUGAGGAUUGUAUUCCAGCAAUGAACGAUAAUACACCACCCAGUGAAAAAUGUUGUGAUGAAUUAAGACAACAGAAAGAUUGUCAAUGUCCUUACUUACAAGUUUUCUUCGAAUUUGAGAACAUUAUUAGUGGUUGUCAUAUCGAAUUGAAAGAACCUUGUCCCUAUGAUCCUCCAUACGCCGACCAAUAAAAUCCAUUUUUACCAUAUAUAUUAAAUAAUUGCCUUGUUUAUGUACAAGAGACGAUAUCCAAUAUCUAUGUGCAUCUUAAGUUCUUAUUCUUAUAUUAAAUAAAAAUGAAAUGAUAUUGUU